ACUUUUAUAGUGUUUAAGCAUAAGAAAUUUUCAAUUUCUUGGAAUAAUUAUAUUUAAUAGAAUUAUUAAAAGUG
rnacentral:tRNA from 1 species